UCUUCAACUACAGCAUCAUCUACGUACACUGUCCACACGAAGGGAGGCCUGAUGACGAGAAGGAGAACAGCCUGCACCACGGAGAAAAAUGGCUCUAGUUUGAAACAACCAUUUCUUUGGUUGAAAUCCAACCUAAUAUUUUGGUUGUUUUCAACAGAAAUUUUGUUAAUGCGAGACCAAUUUUUUUUAUUGAAACGAACCGUAUUCGCAGUUAGUAUCAAGCUAAGAAGUAAUGUUGUUUUCAAUUAUAUUUUGUUUGUUUUGAACUUCAAUGCUAUAUAAAAUGUUUGCUUUGCUCUUAACAAAAUGAGGAUUAUUAUUUUUCGCAACCACCAAACUUGUUGCCGCACCCACUGUGCGAAACGAUAACUCUAGUUCGAUCAGUGAACCAACUGGUCAAUCCCUCGCGCACUGGUCAAGCCGGUAGGCAUGCGAAUACUAAUACAAGAACAUAAGGCUCGCCGUCAAGCUUCGGCUAGAUUAUUGAAGCACAAUAGUUCAUUAUAUUCAAAAGCGUAAACAACUCUGUAAUUUAGAUAGACCACGGCCAUCAGAUAGUAUUGUUCAACCUUGAGGAUUAAAGCGGCAGUGCAGAUCGACGUAUUAGGGGUGCACAAACUGAAUUGAGAACGAUUGUCCACUUAAGAAGCUCUAGGGAGUGAAUUUACCUCAAACACAGAAAUCUAUGAAGUUGCUCAUUAAGGCAGCUAUCUGGAUUGUGUUUCCCUCACACGCUUCUCCAACAAAACUAAAAUACUAGUUUGAUUGCUUAGUCGACGAUGUUCGGUACAUCUUAAAACUGCUUCUGGCGAUAAGAAAACCUGCAGGAUCAGAACUAACGGGAAUGAAAAAGAUCCACAACAAGCAAAAUCUGAACCGGUCAGAUUUCUACUAAUGGACUAAGGAAAAAAUGGUGUCUCCUCAGCGCAACCAAGCAUACAAUCCGUGAGGGCGAAUCGAGAAGGGAGGAAAAAUCAGUGCCAUGUUAUUUACUUCAUUUUCGAUAAAGCUGUAAGUGAUUUUUGUUGUUUCAAUAGAAAAUAAAAUAAAUUGUUCAUAAUGCAGUGGUCAUGCGUUUCAUUAUCAUUAGAAUGAAUAAUAUAUAAUUCAAAUAAUA